CCUACGGGAGGCAGCAGUGAGGAAUAUUGGUCAAUGGGCGGGAGCCUGAACCAGCCAAGUCGCGUGAGGGACGACGGUCCUAUGGAUUGUAAACCUCUUUUGCCGGGGAGCAACGGGCGUCACGUGUGGCGCCACUGAGAGUACCCGGAGAAAAAGCAUCGGCUAACUCCGUGCCAGCAGCCGCGGUAAUACGGAGGAUGCGAGCGUUAUCCGGAUUUAUUGGGUUUAAAGGGUGCGUAGGCGGAUCGUUAAGUCAGUGGUCAAAUGGAGGGGCUCAACCCCUUCCCGCCAUUGAAACUGGCGAUCUUGAGUGGAAGAGAAGUAUGCGGAAUGCGUGGUGUAGCGGUGAAAUGCAUAGAUAUCACGCAGAACCCCGAUUGCGAAGGCAGCAUGCCGGCUUCCGACUGACGCUGAAGCACGAAAGCGUGGGGAUCGAACAGGAUUAGAUACCCGUGUAGUC
rnacentral:rRNA from 1 species